rnacentral:rRNA from 1 species
UGGGGAAUAUUGCGCAAUGGGGGAAACCCUGACGCAGCGACGCCGCGUGUGGGAUGAAGGUCUUCGGAUUGUAAACCACUGUCGCGAGGGACGAAGCUCUGACGGUACCUCGAAAGGAAGCACCGGCUAACUCUGUGCCAGCAGCCGCGGUAAUACAGAGGGUGCGAGCGUUGUCCGGAAUCACUGGGCGUAAAGGGCGCGUAGGCGGCCCGGUAAGUAGGGGGUGAAAUCUCAUGGCUCAACUGUGAGGCUGCCUUCUAGACUGCCAGGCUUGAGCACAGUAGAGGCGAGUGGAAUUCCCGGUGUAGCGGUGGAAUGCGUAGAGAUCGGGAAGAACAUCGGUGGCGAAGGCGGCUCGCUGGGCUGUUGCUGACGCUGAGGCGCGAAAGCGUGGGGAGCAAACAGGAUUAGAUACCCCAGUAGUCCCUGAGCGGGCUGGCAAGGCGCAU